rnacentral:rRNA from 1 species
GAUGAACGCUAGCGGCAGGCUUAAUACAUGCAAGUCGAGGGGCAGCAGCUUUGUAGCAAUACAGGGGCUGGCGACCGGCAAACGGGUGCGGAACACGUACGCAACCUUCCUUUAACUGGAAGAUAGCCCACCGAAAGGUGGAUUAAUACUCCAUAACAUAUUGAAGAGGCAUCUCUUUGAUAUUAAAGCUCCGGCGGUUAAAGAUGGGCGUGCGUCUGAUUAGGUAGUUGGCGGGGUAACGGCCCACCAAGCCUUCGAUCAGUAGCUGAUGUGAGAGCAUGAUCAGCCACACGGGCACUGAGACACGGGCCCGACUCCUACGGGAGGCAGCAGUAAGGAAUAUUGGUCAAUGGACGCAAGUCUGAACCAGCCAUGCCGCGUGGAGGAUGAAGGCCCUCUGGGAUUGUAAACUUCUUUUAUCUGGGACAAAAAGGGAUUCUUUCUCACUUGACGGUACCAGAGGAAUAAGCACCGGCUAACUUCGUGCCAGCAGCCGCGGUAA